AGGGGCGUCGCCAAGUGGCAAGGCACCGGAUUUUGAUUCCGGCAUUCCCAGGUUCGAAUCCUGGCGCCCCUGCCA
rnacentral:tRNA from 1 species